rnacentral:rRNA from 1 species
CUCCCUGGAAAUUCGGGAUAACGGUGGGAAACUGCCGCUAAUACCGGAUACGCUCCCAAUUUAAUUUGGGGGGAAAGGCGGCCUCUGCUUGCAAGCUGUCGUUUCCAGAUGAGUCCGCGUCCCAUUAGCUAGUUGGUAGGGUAACGGCCUACCAAGGCUACGAUGGGUAGCUGGUCUGAGAGGAUGAUCAGCCACACUGGGACUGAAACACGGCCCAGACUCCUACGGGAGGCAGCAGUGGGGAAUAUUGCGCAAUGGGGGAAACCCUGACGCAGCGACGCCGUGUGAGGGAAGAAGGCUUUCGGGUCGUAAACCUCUGUCAGAAGGGAAGAACCGCAUGUGGCCCAAUAGGCCGCAUGCCUGACGGUACCUUCAGAGGAAGCGCCGGCUAACUCCGUGCCAGCAGCCGCGGUAAUACGGAGGGCGCGAGCGUUAAUCGGAAUCACUGGGCGUAAAGCGUACGUAGGCGGCGACGUAAGUCAGGCGUGAAAGCCCUCGGCUCAACCGAGGAAUUGCGUUUGAUACUGCGUUGCUUGAGUCCUGGAGAGGGUGGCGGAAUUCCGGGUGUAGGAGUGAAAUCCGUAGAUAUCCGGAGGAACACCGGUGGCGAAGGCGGCCACCUGGACAGGUACUGACGCUGAGGUACGA